rnacentral:rRNA from 1 species
UACAGAGGGGGCAAGCGUUGUUCGGAAUUACUGGGCGUAAAGGGCGCGUAGGCGGCCUGCUAAGUCGAACGUGAAAUCCCCGGGCUCAACCCGGGAACUGCGUCCGAUACUGGCAGGCUUGAAUCCGGGAGAGGGAUGCGGAAUUCCAGGUGUAGCGGUGAAAUGCGUAGAUAUCAAGAGGAACACCUGAGGUGAAGACGGGUUGCUGGGCUGACACUGACGCUGAGGCGCGAAAGCCAGGGGAGCAAACGGG